rnacentral:misc_RNA from 1 species
UUUCCGUAGGUGAACCUGCGGAAGGAUCAUUAUUGUAUAACCGAGGUGCGAGGGCUGUCGCUGACCCGAAAGGUCGUGCACGCCCGAGUGCCCUCACACACAUCCAUCUCACCCCUAUGUGCACCACCGCGUGGGUCCCCCUUUGGCUUGUUCGGAGGGGGGCUUACGUUUUCACACAAACUUUGUAUGCAGUGUAGAAAUGUAUUUUUUGUUUUUGCGAUCACGCAAUCAAUACAACUUUCAACAACGGAUCUCUUGGCUCUC